CCUACGGGAGGCUGCAGGCGAGAAAACUUUGCAAUGUGCGAAAGCACGACAAGGUUAAUCCGAGUGGUUUCUGCUAAAGAAACCUUUUGUUAGUCCUAGAAACACUGAUGAAUAAGGGGUGGGCAAGUUCUGGUGUCAGCCGCCGCGGUAAAACCAGCACCUCAAGUGGUCAGGAUGAUUAUUGGGCCUAAAGCAUCCGUAGCCGGCUAUGUAAGUUUUCGGUUAAAUCUGUGCGCUUAACGUACAGGCUGCCGGGAAUACUGCAUAGCUAGGAAGUGGGAGAGGUAGACGGUACUCGGUAGGAAGGGGUAAAAUCCUUUGAUCUAUUGAUGACCACCUGUGGCGAAGGCGGUCUACCAGAACACGUUCGACGGUGAGGGAUGAAAGCUGGGGGAGCAAACCGGAUUAGAUACCCCCGUAGUC
rnacentral:rRNA from 1 species